rnacentral:rRNA from 1 species
GCAAGUCGAACGGUAACAUUUCUAGCUUGCUAGAAGAUGACGAGUGGCGGACGGGUGAGUAAUGCUUGGGAACUUGCCUUUGCGAGGGGGAUAACAGUUGGAAACGACUGCUAAUACCGCAUAAUGUCUUCGGACCAAACGGGGCUUAGGCUCCGGCGCAAAGAGAGGCCCAAGUGAGAUUAGCUAGUUGGUAAGGUAAUGGCUUACCAAGGCGACGAUCUCUAGCUGUUCUGAGAGGAAGAUCAGCCACACUGGGACUGAGACACGGCCCAGACUCCUACGGGAGGCAGCAGUGGGGAAUAUUGCACAAUGGGGGAAACCCUGAUGCAGCCAUGCCGCGUGUGUGAAGAAGGCCUUCGGGUUGUAAAGCACUUUCAGUUGUGAGGAAAAGUUAGUAGUUAAUACCUGCUAGCCGUGACGUUAACAACAGAAGAAGCACCGGCUAACUCCGUGCCAGCAGCCGCGGUAAUACGGAGGGUGCGAGCGUUAAUCGGAAUUACUGGGCGUAAAGCGCACGCAGGCGGUUUGUUAAGCUAGAUGUGAAAGCCCCGGGCUCAACCUGGGAUGGUCAUUUAGAACUGGCAGACUA